rnacentral:rRNA from 1 species
GACGAACGCUGGCGGCGUGCUUAACACAUGCAAGUCGUACGGUAAGGCCCUUUCGGGGGUACACGAGUGGCGAACGGGUGAGUAACACGUGAGUAACCUGCCCACAACUUUGGGAUAACGCUAGGAAACUGGUGCUAAUACUGGAUAUGUGCUCCUGCUGCAUGGUGGGGGUUGGAAAGCUCCGGCGGUUGUGGAUGGACUCGCGGCCUAUCAGCUUGUUGGUGGGGUAGUGGCCUACCAAGGCGGCGACGGGUAGCCGGCCUGAGAGGGUGACCGGCCAAAUUGGGACUGAGAUACGGCCCAGACUCCUACGGGAGGCAGAAGGGGGGAAUAUUGAAAAAGGGGCGGAAGCCUGAUGCAGAAACGCCGCGGGGGGGAUGACGGCCUUCGGGUUGUAAACCGCUUUCAGCAGGGACGAAGCUUUUGGGAAGGGAACCGGCAAAAAAAGAACGGGCAAACCACGG